GGGGGCAGGUCGGUGCUGGCGCGGGUCCGUCUAACCGCGCGCCGCGGGUUCGACUCCCGCUGCCCCCA
rnacentral:tRNA from 1 species